rnacentral:misc_RNA from 1 species
GAACCAUAGUACCCAAACUAAGGGUGGAAGAAAUGAAGGGAGCUUAUUUGGUACUGAGAAUUUUAAUUUUGCUUGUGGAAUGGGACCUGGGAGACUAUUCAUGGAAUGUCUUAGCUUGAGUUCUGCUUCAAAAAUGGAUUUCGACAAUGAUGUUGGGACUGAUGACAGAAGUAGUCAGAUAUCUGGAUGUUGUAGUGUUUCCAGUGGUAUGAAGAGG